rnacentral:rRNA from 1 species
AUAUUGGACAAUGGGCGAAAGCCUGAUCCAGCCAUGCCGCGUGUGUGAAGAAGGUCUUNGGAUUGNANAGCACUUUAAGUUGGGANACAGGGCAGUAAGUUAAUACCUUGCUGUUUUGACGUUACCGACAGAAUAAGCACCGGCUAACUUCGUGCCAGCAGCCGCGGUAAUACGAAGGGUGCAAGCGUUAAUCGGAAUUACUGGGCGUAAAGGCAGCGUAGGUGGUUAGUUAAGUUGGAAGUGAAAGCCCCGGGCUUAACCUGGGAAUUGCUUUCAAAACUGACGAGCUAGAGUACGGUAGAGGGUAGUGGAAUUUCCUGUGUAGCGGUGAAAUGCGUAGAUAUAGGAAGGAACAUCAGUGGCGAAGGCGACUACCUGGACUGAUACUGACACUGAGGUGCGAAAGCGUGGGGAGCAAACAGG